rnacentral:rRNA from 1 species
GACGUAGGGCGCGAGCGUUGUCCGGAUUUAUUGGGCGUAAAGAGCUCGUAGGCGGCUUGUCGCGUCGACUGUGAAAACCCGCGGCUCAACUGCGGGCCUGCAGUCGAUACGGGCAGGCUAGAGUUCGGUAGGGGAGAAUGGAAUUCCCGGUGUAGCGGUGAAAUGCGCAGAUAUCGGGAGGAACACCGGUGGCGAAAGCGGCGCACUGGACCUUUUCUGACGCUGAUGCGCGAAAGCCAGGGGAGCAAACGGGG